UGAGUACGAGAUGCUACGGCGUCGAAGCAGUCUAGGUCAUACUUCCAAGAAAAGCUUGCACUGUCAUAAACAAAGAAUGCCUGUACCAUAACCGACACAGGUGGGUAGGUAGAGUAUACUAAGGGGCGCGAGAUAACUCUCUCUAAGGAACUCGGCAAAAUGACUCCGUAACUUCGGGAGAAGGAGUGCCUUAUUUUUAAGGUUGCAAUAACAAGAUCCAAGCAACUGUUUACCAAAAACACAGGUCUCCGCUAAGUCGUAAGACGAUGUAUGGGGGCUGACGCCUGCCCAGUGCCAGAAGGUUAAAGAAGUUGGUUAGCAUUUGCGAAGCUGAUAACUGAAGCCCUGGUGAACGGCGGCCGUAACAAUAACGGUCCUAAGGUAGCGAAAUUCCUUGUCGGGUAAGUUCCGACCCGCACGAAAGGCGUAAUGAUUUGGAUACUGUCUCGGAGAGGGGCUCGGUGAAAUAGACUUGUCUGUGAAGAUGCGGACUACCUGCACCUGGACAGAAAGACCCUAUGAAGCUUUACUGUAACUUGAGAUUGAAAUUGGACUUUAUUUGCGCAGUAUAGGUGGGAGGCGUUGAGAAUAAUCUUGCGGGAUUAUCGGAGCCAUCAGUGAGAUACCACUCUUGUAAUGUUAGAUUUCUAACUUUGUAUCAUUAUCUGGUCAAAGAACAGUUUCAGGCGGGCAGUUUGACUGGGGCGGUCGCCUCCCAAAGGGUAACGGAGGCGCACAAAGGUUUCCUCUGAACGGGUAGAAAUCGUAUCUAGAGUGUAAAGGCAUAAGGAAGCUUGACUGUGAGACCUACAAGUCGAGCAGGGACGAAAGUCGGUCUUAGUGAUCUGACGGUGCUGAGUGGAAAGGCCGUCACUCAACGGAUAAAAGUUACUCUAGGAUAACAGGCUGAUCUCCCCCAAGAGUUCACAUCGACGGGGAGGUUUGGCACCUCGAUGUCGGCUCAUCGCAUCCUGGGGCGGUAGUACGUCCCAAGGGUUGGGCUGUUCGCCCAUGAAAGCGGUACGCGAGCUGGGUUCAGAACGUCGUGAGACAGUUCGGUCCAUAUCCGGUGUAGGCGUUAGAAUAUUGAAAGGAGCCUUCUCUAGUACGAGAGGACCGAGAAGGACAUACCUCUGGUGUGCCAGUUAUCGUGCCAACGGUAAACGCUGGGUAGCUAUGUAUGGAGUGGAUAACCGCUGAAAGCAUCUAAGUGGGAAGCCCACCUUAAGAUAAGUAUUCUCA
rnacentral:rRNA from 1 species